rnacentral:rRNA from 1 species
UAGGGAAUCUUCCGCAAUGGACGCAAGUCUGACGGAGCAACGCCGCGUGAGUGAAGAAGGAUUUCGGUUCGUAAAACUCUGUUGUUAGAGAAGAACAGCGCAUAGAGUAACUGUUAUGCGUGUGACGGUAUCUAACCAGAAAGCCACGGCUAACUACGUGCCAGCAGCCGCGGUAAUACGUAGGUGGCAAGCGUUGUCCGGAUUUAUUGGGCGUAAAGCGAGCGCAGGCGGUCAAUUAAGUCUGAUGUGAAAGCCCCCGGCUCAACCGGGGAGGGUCAUUGGAAACUGGUUGACUUGAGUGCAGAAGAGGAGAGUGGAAUUCCAUGUGUAGCAGUGAAAUGCGUAGAUAUAUGGAGGAACACCAGUGGCGAAGGCGACUCUCUGGUCUGUAACUGACGCGGAGGCUCGAAAGCGUGGGUAGCAAACAGG